AAUGUAGGCUGUUAUGUAAGUCGGAGGUGAAAUCCCUCGGCUCAACCGAGGAACUGCCUUUGAUACUGCAUAACUUGAGGACAGGAGAGGAAAGUGGAAUUCCCGGAGUAGCGGUGGAAUGCGUAGAUAUCGGGAGGAACACCGGAGGCGAAGGCGGCUUUCUGGACUGAUUCUGACGCUGAGAUUCGAAAGCCAGGUUAGCAAACA
rnacentral:rRNA from 1 species